ACGGGGCCCGGCACAAGCGGUGGAGCAUGUGGUUUAAUUCGAUGCAACGCGAAGAACCUUACCUGGGCUUGACAUCCCGGGAAUCCCUUGGAACAAGGGAGUGCCCUUCGGGGAACCUGGAGACAGGUGCUGCAUGGCUGUCGUCAGCUCGUGUCGUGAGAUGUAGGGUUAAGUCCCGCAACGAGCGCAACCCCUAUCUUUAAUUGCCAUCAUUCAGUUGGGCACUUUAGAGAGACUGCCGGUGUUAAGCCGGAGGAAGGUGGGGAUGACGUCAAGUCCUCAUGGCCUUUAUGUCUAGGGCUACACACGUGCUACAAUGGGUGGUACAAAGAGCAGCUAACUCGCGAGAGUAUGCAAAUCUCAAAAAGCCAUCCUCAGUUCGGAUUGGAGUCUGCAACUCGACUCCAUGAAGUUGGAAUCGCUAGUAAUCGCGGAUCAGCAUGCCGCGGUCGAAUACGUUCCCGGGCCUU
rnacentral:rRNA from 1 species